AUUGAACGCUGGCGGCAGGCCUAACACAUGCAAGUCGAGCGGUAGCACAGAGAGCUUGCUCUCGGGUGACGAGCGGCGGACGGGUGAGUAAUGUCUGGGAAACUGCCUGAUGGAGGGGGAUAACUACUGGAAACGGUAGCUAAUACCGCAUAACGUCGCAAGACCAAAGAGGGGGACCUUCGGGCCUCUUGCCAUCAGAUGUGCCCAGAUGGGAUUAGCUAGUAGGUGGGGUAACGGCUCACCUAGGCGACGAUCCCUAGCUGGUCUGAGAGGAUGACCAGCCACACUGGAACUGAGACACGGUCCAGACUCCUACGGGAGGCAGCAGUGGGGAAUAUUGCACAAUGGGCGCAAGCCUGAUGCAGCCAUGCCGCGUGUAUGAAGAAGGCCUUCGGGUUGUAAAGUACUUUCAGCGGGGAGGAAGGUGUUGAGGUUAAUAACCUCAGCAAUUGACGUUACCCGCAGAAGAAGCACCGGCUAACUCCGUGCCAGCCGCCGCCGUAAAAC
rnacentral:rRNA from 1 species